rnacentral:rRNA from 1 species
AACGAACGCUGGCGGCGCGCCUAAUACAUGCAAGUCGAGCGAGAAGACGUAGCAAUACGUUUGUAAAGCGGCGAACGGGUGAGGAAUACAUGGGUAACCUACCCUCGAGUGGGGAAUAACUAGCCGAAGGUUAGCUAAUACCGCGUACGCUCCUUGGACUUCGGUUCAGGGAGGAAAGCGAUACCGUGGGUAUCGCGCUCUUGGAUGGGCUCAUGUCCUAUCAGCUUGUUGGUGAGGAACGGCUCACCAAGGCUUCGACGGGUAGCUGGUCUGAGAGGACGAUCAGCCACACUGGCACUGCGACACGGGCCAGACUCCUACGGGAGGCAGCAGUAAGGAAUAUUGCGCAAUGGGCGAAAGCCUGACGCAGCGACGCCGCGUGGGGGAUGAAGGUCUUCGGAUUUGUAAACCCC